rnacentral:rRNA from 1 species
UACGAAGGGUGCAAGCGUUACUCGGAAUUACUGGGCGUAAAGCGUGCGCAGGUGGUUUGUUAAGUCUGCUGUGAAAGCCCCGGGCUCAACCUGGGAAUGGCAGUGGAUACUGGCAAGCUAGAGUGCGGUAGAGGGGUGUGGAAUUCCCGGUGUAGCGGUGAAAUGCGUAGAGAUCGGGAGGAACACCAGUGGCGAAGGCGGCACCCUGGACCAGCACUGACACUGAGGCACGAAAGCGUGGGGAGCAAACAGG